rnacentral:rRNA from 1 species
GAUGAACGCUGGCGGCGUGCCUAAUACAUGCCAGUCGAGCGAACAGACGAGGAGCUUGCUCCUCUGACGUUAGCGGCGGACGGGUGAGUAACACGUGGAUAACCUACCUAUAAGACUGGGAUAACUUCGGGAAACCGGAGCUAAUACCGGAUAAUAUAUUGAACCGCAUGGUUCAAUAGUGAAAGACGGUUUUGCUGUCACUUAUAGAUGGAUCCGCGCCGCAUUAGCUAGUUGGUAAGGUAACGGCUUACCAAGGCAACGAUGCGUAGCCGACCUGAGAGGGUGAUCGGCCACACUGGAACUGAGACACGGUCCAGACUCCUACGGGAGGCAGCAGUAGGGAAUCUUACGCAAUGGGCGAAAGCCUGACGGAGCAACGCCGCGUGAGUGAUGAAGGUCUUCGGAUCGUAAAACUCUGUUAUUAGGGAAGAACAAAUGUGUAAGUAACUAUGCACGUCUUGACGGUACCUAAUCAGAAAGCCACGGCUAACUACGUG